UACGGAGGGGGCAAGCGUUGUCCGGACUUACUGGGCGUAAAGGGUGCGUAGGCGGCCUGCUGCGUCGGUGCUGAAAGCGCCCGGCUUAACCGGGCGAGGCGUGCCGAUACGAGCGGGCUGGAGCCUUGGCGAGGGUGGCGGAACUCCUGGUGUAGUGGUGAAAUGCGUAGAGAUCAGGAAGAACACCCGUGGCGCAAGCGGCCACCUGGCCAAGAGCUGACGCUGAGGCACGAGAGCGUGGGGAGCGAACAGG
rnacentral:rRNA from 1 species